CGGACCCACUGGCUGCUGGAGCUUGUCACCACCAGCCACGCACCCUGCGUCCAGCCCCGUGAGGCUGUAGAGUGACCGCAGGAAGAAGUCCUUGUUGGCAUAGUACAGCGGCCCCCCAAAGCGGAACACCCGCACGCCGGGCUCGGGGACGAGGCCCUCAAACUCUGUGGUGUCCUCGUAGAAGGCCGAGUCCCCGAUGCGGGCCAGCAGGGCGGUGCGUGGGCGUUGGGUGCGGCCGGCCAGGCUGAGCAGCGAGAGGAUGACGCCGGCCAGCAGCCCGGCCUCUGUGCUGACCAGCAUACAGGUGGCCGCAGUGCCCGCCCAGACCAGCGCGUCGGCCGGGCUCAUCCGCCACAGCCGCGGGAGGUCCCACACCUUGCGCAGGGCCCCCCGCAGGCUGACCACGAUGACGCAGGCCAGCACGCUUC
rnacentral:sRNA from 1 species